rnacentral:rRNA from 1 species
GGGCCCGCACAAGCGGUGGAGUAUGUGGUUUAAUUCGAUGCAACGCGAAGAACCUUACCAGGGUUUGACAUCCUGCGAAUCUCUUGGAAACAGGAGAGUGCCUUCGGGAACGCAGUGACAGGUGGUGCAUGGCUGUCGUCAGCUCGUGUCGUGAGAUGUUGGGUUAAGUCCCGCAACGAGCGCAACCCUUAUCCUUGUUUGCCAGCGAGUAAUGUCGGGAACUCCAGGGAGACUGCCGGUGAUAAACCGGAGGAAGGUGUGGAUGACGUCAAGUCAUCAUGCCCCUUACAUCCUGGGCUACACACGUACUACAAUGCUACGGACAAAGGGCUGCAAGUUCGCGAGAGCUAGCAAAUCCCAUAAACGUGGCUC